rnacentral:tRNA from 1 species
GGGGGCAUAACUGAGUGGUAGAGCUCCUGCUUGGCAUGCAGGUGCAGGAGGGCCUGGGUUCAAUCCCCAGUGCCUCCA